rnacentral:rRNA from 1 species
AUUGAACGCUGGCGGCAUGCUUUACACAUGCAAGUCGAACGGCAGCGCGGGCUUCGGCCUGGCGGCGAGUGGCGAACGGGUGAGUAAUACAUCGGAACGUGCCCAGUAGUGGGGGAUAGCUCGGCGAAAGCCGGGUUAAUACCGCAUACGACCUGAGGGUGAAAGCGGGGGAUCUUCGGACCUCGCGCUAUUGGAGCGGCCGAUGGCAGAUUAGCUAGUUGGUGGGGUAAAGGCCUACCAAGGCGACGAUCCGUAGCUGGUCUGAGAGGACGACCAGCCACACUGGGACUGAGACACGGCCCAGACUCCUACGGGAGGCAGCAGUGGGGAAUUUUGGACAAUGGGCGAAAGCCUGAUCCAGCAAUGCCGCGUGUGUGAUGAAGGCCUUCGGGUUGUAAAGCACUUUUGGCGGGAACGAAAAGGACUGUGCUAAUACCACGGUUCGAUGACGGUACCCGCAGAAUAAGCACCGGCUAACUACGUG